rnacentral:rRNA from 1 species
CCUACGGGUGGCAGCAGUCGAGAAUCAUUCACAAUGGGGGAAACCCUGAUGGUGCGACGCCGCGUGGGGGAAUGAAGGUCUUCGGAUUGUAAACCCCUGUCAGGUGGGAGCAAAUUAAAAAGAUAGUACCACAAGAGGAAGAGACGGCUAACUCUGUGCCAGCAGCCGCGGUAAUACAGAGGUCUCAUGCGUUGUUCGGAAUCACUGGGCGUAAGGCGUGCGUAGGCUGUUUCGUAAGUCGUGUGUGAAAGGCGCGGGCUCAACCCGCGGACGGCACAUGAUACUGCGAGACUAGAGUAAUGGAGGGGGAACCGGAAUUCGCGGUGUAGCAGUGAAAUGCGUAGAUAUCGAGAGGAACACUCGUGGCGAAGGCGGGUUCCUGGACAUUAACUGACGCUGAGGCACGAAGGCCAGGGGAGCGAAAGGGAUUAGAUACCCUAGUAGUC